GGCAUCAGGAAGAAAGCUUGCUUUCUUUGCUGGCGACCGGCGCACGGGUGAGUAACACGUAUCCAACCUGCCCUUUACUCGGGGAUAGCCUUUCGAAAGAAAGAUUAAUACCCGAUAGCAUAAUGAUUCCGCAUGGUUUCAUUAUUAAAGGAUUCCGGUAAAGGAUGGGGAUGCGUUCCAUUAGGUUGUUGGUGAGGUAACGGCUCACCAAGCCUUCGAUGGAUAGGGGUUCUGAGAGGAAGGUCCCCCACAUUGGAACUGAGACACGGUCCAAACUCCUACGGGAGGCAGCAGUGAGGAAUAUUGGUCAAUGGGCGUUAGCCUGAACCAGCCAAGUAGCGUGAAGGAUGAAGGCUCUAUGGGUCGUAAACUUCUUUUAUAUAAGAAUAAAGUGCAGUAUGUAUACUGUUUUGUAUGUAUUAUAUGAAUAAGGAUCGGCUAACUCCGUGCCAGCAGCCGCGGUAAUACGGAGGAUCCGAGCGUUAUCCGGAUUUAUUGGGUUUAAAGGGAGCGUAGGUGGACUG
rnacentral:rRNA from 1 species